rnacentral:rRNA from 1 species
AGCGAACGCUGGCGGCAGGCCUAACACAUGCAAGUCGAACGGAUCCUUCGGGAUUAGUGGCGGACGGGUGAGGAACACGUGGGAACGUGCCUUUUGGUUCGGAACAACUCAGGGAAACUUGAGCUAAUACCGGAUAAGCCCUUCGGGGGAAAGAUUUAUCGCCAUUAGAGCGGCCCGCGUCUGAUUAGCUAGUUGGUGAGGUAAAGGCUCACCAAGGCGACGAUCAGUAGCUGGUCUGAGAGGAUGAUCAGCCACACUGGGACUGAGACGCGGGCCAGACUCCUACGGGAGGCAGCAGUGGGGAAUCUUGCGCAAUGGGCGAAAGCUUGACGCAGCCAUGCCGCGUGAAUGAUGAAGGUCUUAGGAUUGUAAAAUUCUUUCACCGGGGACGAUAAUGACGGUACCCGGAGAAGAAGCCCCGGCUAACUUCGUGCCAGCAGCCGCGGUAAAAC